CCUUAUCUGGAUCGGGUUUCGCUGGCUAACGUGUUGUAAAAGCGAGUAGCGAGUAAAAUCUUCAAUUCGUUGUCGACGAAACCUGCACGGAAUAAGG
rnacentral:pre_miRNA from 1 species